GGUCCUGUAGCUCAGUCGGUUAGAGCAGUGAACUCAUAAUUCAUUGGUCAUUGGUUCAAACCCAAUCAGGAUCACC
rnacentral:tRNA from 3 species